UAAGCGGAGGAAAAGAAACUAACAAGGAUUCCCCUAGUAACGGCGAGUGAAGCGGGAAAAGCUCAAAUUUGAAAUCUGGUAGCCUCAGGUUGCCCGAGUUGUAAUCUAUAGAAACGUUUUCCGCGUUGGCCCAUGUACAAGUCUCCUGGAAUGGAGCGUCAUAGAGGGUGAGAAUCCCGUCCUUGACAUGGACUACCAGUGCUUUGUGAUACGUUUUCAAAGAGUCGAGUUGUUUGGGAAUGCAGCUCAAAAUGGGUGGUAAAUUCCAUCUAAAGCUAAAUAUUGGCGAGAGACCGAUAGCGAACAAGUACCGUGAGGGAAAGAUGAAAAGCACUUUGGAAAGAGAGUUAAACAGUAUGUGAAAUUGUUGAAAGGGAAACGAUUGAAGUCAGUCAUGUCUAUUGGACUCAGCCGGUUCUGCCGGUGUACUUCCUUUAGAUGGGGUCAACAUCAGUUUUGAUCGCUGGAAAAGGGCAGGAGGAAUGUAGCACUCUCGGGUGAACUUAUAGCCUUCUGUCGUAUACAGUGGUUGGGACUGAGGAACGCAGCAUGCCUUUAUGGCCGGGGUUCGCCCACGUACAUGCUUAGGAUGUUGACAUAAUGGCUUUAAACGACCCGUCUUGAAACACG
rnacentral:rRNA from 1 species